ACGAACGCUGGCGGCGUGCUUAACACAUGCCAGUCGUACGGUAAGGCCCUUUCGGGGGUACACGAGUGGCGAACGGGUGAGUAACACGUGAGUAACCUGCCCACAACUUUGGGAUAACGCUAGGAAACUGGUGCUAAUACUGGAUAUGUGCCCCUGCUGCAUGGUGGGGGUUGGAAAGCUCCGGCGGUUGUGGAUGGACUCGCGGCCUAUCAGCUUGUUGGUGGGGUAGUGGCCUACCAAGGCGGCGACGGGUAGCCGGCCUGAGAGGGUGACCGGCCACAUUGGGACUGAGAUACGGCCCAGACUCCUACGGGAGGCAGCAGUGGGGAAUAUUGCACAAUGGGCGCAAGCCUGAUGCAGCAACGCCGCGUGCGGGAUGACAGCCUUCGGGUUGUAAACCGCUUUCAGCAGGGACGAAGCUUUUUGUGACGGUACCUGCAGAAGAAGCACCGGCUAACUACGUG
rnacentral:rRNA from 1 species